rnacentral:rRNA from 1 species
AUGGGACGGCUGGCUCUCAUCAACUCGGUGUUAACCUCCUUGACCACGUACUAUCUGACAAUUUUUGCUCCAACCAAGUGGGUUGUAAAGAGGAUUGACAAGCUCCGAAGAAGUUUUCUUUGGAAAGGAGAAGAAGAGGCCAAAGGAGGCCACUGUGCAGUCAAUUGGCAACAAGUAUGCUCCCCCAAAAAGCUUGGGGGCCUUGGAAUAAAAAACCUAGCGUUCUACAGCAGAUCUUUGAGAUUAAGGUGGGCUUGGUACUCCUGGAAAUACCCCAACAGGCCUUGGGUUGGAUUG